GCCGCCGCUGCCCUGCACUACGCCGGUAGCCCUAUGACAACACUAUGAAAAUAUGCUGAAAAACACUCUGCAAUAACAAUUGGAAAUAGCUACUCAAACGAAGUUCUCGAAGCGAGACUUAAACAUUUGAAAGGCUUGCCGCCGGCGCCGCCGCUUCUGCCACCUGUACCCCUUGCCGAUACCGCCCCGUGGACAUCUCUUGCAGCCGUUGGUGCGAAGAUGCAAGAUAUCGAAAUUUGAUGCUGUUACUGGGAAGACAAUGCUGAAGCGGAACUUACUAGGU